AUCUCCAGCGUAGGGCAGCCUGUCCUGCAGUUCUAUGGGGACCUUUCAAGAUGUUGCUGCAAAGUUCUGCAGUGGAACAGCCCAGGGUGGGUGUUAAAAUGCAGAUUCUCUGGCACCGAGAAUCUCGAAGGCCAUUUCAGUUUAGCAGCCACCCUGAGGGUGCUUACGACCUCUAUAACUUGGAAAUGAACUUCCAGAUUUCCCAUUUUCACUCAUUCACACCCUCACCUGCACCCAUGACAGUGGGGCUGGGCACCCUUCUCAGAAGCUUUCUACCCCCACCACGCCGCUCCCUCAGCCCAUGUCAGAAGUGGGGUGCACCUCAGAGAAGAGCAAGAGAAGGAACCAUAACUCUGUGUGGCAGAGGGGACCGCCACCUGCCCAUCACUGUGCCCGUGUGACUACCAAACUCGAGAGCAGGAACUACCAUCCCUGCGUCCCAGGCACCUGGAUCCCCACAUCUGCUCCUGCAUUCAACCAAUAGCCAUGAAUUGGGCUAACCUGGUGUCCCAGGAACAGGUUGCUAAAAAGACAUGUAUUCAAGGUAAGUUUCAGAACUUAAACAUUUUCCUGCUCCCAUAAGGACUUUGGGGAGUUGUUGGAAAUGGAACCCAGGGCCUGGCACAUGCUGCAUCUCAGCCCUCAUUGAGGACAUUCUUAACCGCCCCUGGCACGUGUGGGCAUUCAAGUGCGUGCCAGUGGAGACCUCAGUGACUGUGUGACAGUGUCGAGUCAUUUCCUGGUUCUACUAAAAUGCCGGCAGUUUUGUUCACUGGCAGAGCAAACAAAACAAGAUGAAAAUGGCAAGUGGUGUCCCAGAAACAUGGUGAGGACUUCUAGGACACUUGAAGUGGUCUGGGGGUUCCCCUGGGAUAUGCAGACCAUGACGAGGGAACCGUCAAGCAAGGGGGAUGGGCCAGUUUCUGAACCUCCUGAAGUCUGGCUGAGAAGAUAGAUUGGGCAAACAUAGCCACUCAUGGUGUGAUGUGGGCUAAGGUACACGCAAGGUGGAGAUAACUGACAUGCUUCACGUUGCAAACAACAACAAGGCCUUCAUGAUAUCGGAAUCCUUUGAAAUAGGUCUUGAUCAACCAGCAGGAACUCAUCCAGGAAGAGAAGAUGGACCUUAUAUUUUGAGUUGCACGAGGAUCGGUGGUCCUAAGGAACCAAGGCUUUUGGAGACUUACCAAAAAAAGACAAUAAACUUGGGUGUUUGUAUUGACAAUAACAUCAGCCAUAUCAUUGAGUAUUCAU